rnacentral:lncRNA from 13 species
AAGUUUGUGAUGGUCAGAUCAAGAAUUCAGUUUCCAGACUCUCAGUCCAGUGCUCUUUCUGCCACUCCCAAUGAUACCGACUUGUCAGUUUCAGGAGGCAAACGUGGCCCACUUCAAGGAAACCAGCCGUUGGCACAUGAUGGCCAUCACAGAGCUCAGGAGCUGACCUUUGGGUGGUUUCUGGUCCACGUGACAAACCCUCCAGCUGCUCUCUUUCAAAAGAAGACACAGAAACUGCAAAGAGUGACCGUCCAGCCACAGAGUGGGAACCAGGCUCCAGAACACCUAGGGUCUAACUUCGGCUCUUCGUGUGAUUUUGAGCCAUACAAUUAAACUCCGAGGAAUUCCGUUUCCCCAUCCACAAAAUGGAGAAGAAAAUUUUAGCCUAACUACCCUUCUGACUGAUGGGCCAAGGUAAUAACAUUAUUAAAUAAAAUAAUUAAUGUAAAAGCGUUGAAGAGGCUU